rnacentral:rRNA from 1 species
GGUGAACGCUGGCGGUAGGCCUAACACAUGCAAGUCGAACGGCAGCACAGUAAGAGCUUGCUCUUACGGGUGGCGAGUGGCGGACGGGUGAGGAAUACAUCGGAAUCUACUUUUUCGUGGGGGAUAACGUAGGGAAACUUACACUAAUACCGCAUACGACCUACGGGUGAAAGCAGGGGAUCUUCGGACCUUGCGCGAUUGAAUGAGCCGAUGUCGGAUUAGCUAGUUGGCGGGGUAAAGGCCCACCAAGGCGACGAUCCGUAGCUGGUCUGAGAGGAUGAUCAGCCACACUGGAACUGAGACACGGUCCAGACUCCUACGGGAGGCAGCAGUGGGGAAUAUUGGACAAUGGGCGCAAGCCUGAUCCAGCCAUACCGCGUGGGUGAAGAAGGCCUUCGGGUUGUAAAGCCCUUUUGUUGGGAAAGAAAAGCAGCAGGUUAAUACCCCGCUGUUCUGACGGUACCCAAAGAAUAAGCACCGGCUAACUUCGUGC